GUCGCACGAGAAAGCCUGGAGCAAUCCCGGUGAGUAAAAUGGCGCACGGGUGAGUAACACGUGGGUGAUCUACCUUCUUGUGGGGAAUAACCCUGGGAAACCGGGGCUAAUACCGCAUAAGCCCGAAAGGGGAAAGCAGCAAUGCGCAGGAAGAGGAGCCCGCGGCCGAUUAGCUAGUUGGUAGGGUAAUGGCCUACCAAGGCUGUGAUCGGUAGCCGGCCUGAGAGGGCACACGGCCACACUGGCACUGAAACACGGGCCAGACUCCUACGGGAGGCAGCAGUGGGGAAUCUUGCACAAUGGGGGAAACCCUGAUGCAGCGACGCCGCAUGAGCGAUGAAGCCCUUCGGGGUGUAAAGCUCUUUCGGCAGGAACGAUAAUGACGGUACCUGCAGAAGAAGCUGCGGUUAACUACGUGCCAACAGCCGCGGUAAUACGUAGGCAGCAAGCGUUGUUCGGAGUUACUGGGCGUAAAGAGUGUGUAGGCGGUUCUCUAAGUUCGGUGUGAAAUCUCCCGGCUCAACUGGGAGGGUGCGCCGAAGACUGGAGGGCUUGAGUAUGGGAGAGGAAAGCGGAAUUCCUGGUGUAGCGGUGAAAUGCGUAGAUAUCAGGAGGAACACCUGCGGUGUAGACGGCUUUCUGGACCAUAACUGACGCUGAGACACGAAAGCGUGGGUAGCAAACAGGAUUAGAUACCCUGGUAGUCCACGCCCUAAACGAUGCAUACUUGGUGUGGGCAGUUCAUUCUGUCCGUGCCGG
rnacentral:rRNA from 1 species